AUGCCUCUAAAUCCAGAAGGGGCCAUAAUAACCAAGUGUUCAGUAUCGGUUGUUAGAAGCCCAGGCAGAGAUAAAACUCCAAUAAAAGUACAUUCUUUUAUGUUCAGUGUUAAAGGAAAAGCAACGUUAAACAAGGAUUUAUGUCAGUGGGAGCAGGCAGAGGAAUACAGGCCCUUUAAUAACCUGGUGCUGCAGGAAAGGGAGCAAGCUCCAGCGAGGUUUCUCUGGCAGCAGAAAAGGCCUGAGGGAACCUGGCUCUUUCAGAGCAAGGCUGAAGGCUUGAAGCUGGGCAAGGAGCACAGGGAUGCUUGGCAGAUUGCCUGCUUGCCGAUGUUAUUGAGAGGAGACAUUGUGGUGGAUAACUGGUAGUGCAAGACUACAAGUACUGGGCAGAAAAUUUAAGAGAAAGAUUGACGAGCCCUCAGAUGCCGAUUUACUGUACAUGGCAGCCACGCUGGAGCCGAGGCACAUCUGGAGUGGA
rnacentral:lncRNA from 1 species